AGAAAAGGCCCUUGGUGAGGUACACCCACAUCAGACUAUGAUGAGAAAUCGGCUUCUAUCAUGCAUCAUCUACAUGGUUCCAAUGACUAUGAGCCUAAUGCAGAAAGAAAAUGACAUCUUGGUGGCUGGAGAAGGUCAUCGGCUGUCAUCAUCAACCCAACCAAAAUGUGGGAAUAAAAAGAUACAGG
rnacentral:lncRNA from 1 species